rnacentral:rRNA from 1 species
GAACUUUAAAUUUGGUUUGUUGGGUUUAUUUGCCUUUUGCAUCAUGCUAUAUGGAUGUGGAUAAUUUAGAUUGUAUACCGAAAAGUUUGGAUCUGACACUAAGUUGGUAGGAAAGUUAGAUACGAGUAGUGGUGUUAAAAUUUGGUGUUAGGGGUGAUAAAUAAGUCGUCAAACUUUAUAUCUGUUUGGGGGAUUAGGUGUUUAGGUACCCUACCGGUGAAGAGAUCGGGUGGGCUAGUAUAUCUUUUUUGUGCACUGUAUUAAGUUAGGGUUAAAGUUACCCUCCUUUAUAGGAUAUGUUAUAAUUGCGGUGUGAAGUCAUAAAGUAAAAAAGAUUACUAUUUAUGGUCCUCCUUUAUUUAAUAGUUUGUGGUAAAGUAUCAUUUAAUAAGUAAUUAUAUUAGCUUUUAUGUGUCUCGACUCCAUCCCGUCUGUUUAUUAAAAACAUUUCCAUAUUUCAGUUUAUAUGGUAGUACCUGCUCUAUGUGUUAUAAAUGGCCGCAGUAUCUUGACUGUGCGAAGGUAGCAUAAUUAAUUGCCUUUUAAAUGGGGGCUUGUUUGAAUGGUUUGACGUGGUUGUGAGUAACAUGAAGGUUUUAGGUGAAAUUGAUGACGCGAAUUCAGAAUUUGCGUAUUUUAAUUAGACGGAAAGACCCUAGGAUCUUUGAAUUUUUGCUUGGGGCAAGUGAGGAUAUUUUAUUUGCUUUUGGACCCCCUUGGGCUAUAGGUUUAAGUUACCCUAGGGAUAACAGAGUAAUAGUUUAUUAGAGAUCUUAUCGAUUAAACUGUUUGCUACCUCGAUGUUGACUUGGGUUAAAUGUUCUAGCGCAGUUGUUAGGAGUUUUGGUCUGUUCGACCAUAGGUACCCCCAUGAGUUGAGUUAAGACCGGCGUGAGCCAGGUCGGUUCUUAUCUAUUGUUCUAAUUCGUUAGUACGAAAGGAUUGCGGGUU